rnacentral:rRNA from 1 species
UGGGGGGGGUUGCCUUUACCAUGCAAGUCGAACGGUAACGCGGGGCAACCUGGCGACGAGUGGCGAACGGGUGAGUAAUGCAUCGGAACGUGCCCAGUAGUGGGGGAUAGCCCGGCGAAAGCCGGAUUAAUACCGCAUACGACCUACGGGUGAAAGCGGGGGAUCGCAAGACCUCGCGCUAUUGGAGCGGCCGAUGUCAGAUUAGGUAGUUGGUGGGGUAAAGGCUCACCAAGGCGACGAUCAGUAGCGGGUUUGAGAGGAUGAUCCGCCACACUGGGACUGAGACACGGCCCAGACUCCUACGGGAGGCAGCAGUGGGGAAUUUUGGACAAUGGGGGCAACCCUGAUCCAGCCAUUCCGCGUGAGUGAAGAAGGCCUUCGGGUUGUAAAGCUCUUUCAGCAGGAACGAAACGGUACGCUCUAACAUAGUGUGCUAAUGACGGUACCUGCAGAAGAAGCACCGGCUAACUACGUGCCAGCAGCCGCGGUAAUACGUAGGGUGCGAGCGUUAAUCGGAAUUACUGGGCGUAAAGCGUGCGCAGGCGGAUUGUUAAGCAAGAUGUGAAAUCCCCGGGCUUAACCUGGGAAUGGCAUUUUGAACUGGCAGUCUAGAGUGUGUCAGAGGGGGGUGGAAUUCCACGUGUAGCAGUGAAAUGCGUAGAGAUGUGGAGGAACACCGAUGGCGAAGGCAGCCCCCUGGGAUAACACUGACGCUCAUGUACGAAAGCGUGGGUAGCAAACAGGAUUAGAUACCCUGGUAGUCCACGCCCUAAACGAUGUCAACUGGUUGUUGGGGGAGUGAAAUCCCUUAGUAACGAAGCUAACGCGUGAAGUUGACCGCCUGGGGAGUACGGUCGCAAGAUUAAAACUCAAAGGAAUUGACGGGGACCCGCACAAGCGGUGGAUGAUGUGGAUUAAUUCGAUGCAACGCGAAAAACCUUACCUACCCUUGACAUGUCCGGAAUCCUGAAGAGAUUUGGGAGUGCUCGAAAGAGAACCGGAACACAGGUGCUGCAUGGCUGUCGUCAGCUCGUGUCGUGAGAUGUUGGGUUAAGUCCCGCAACGAGCGCAACCCUUAUCAUUAGUUGCUACGCAAGGGCACUCUAAUGAGACUGCCGGUGACAAACCGGAGGAAGGUGGGGAUGACGUCAAGUCCUCAUGGCCCUUAUGGGUAGGGCUUCACACGUCAUACAAUGGUCGGUACAGAGAGUUGCCAAGCCGCGAGGUGGAGCCAAUCCCAGAAAGCCGAUCGUAGUCCGGAUUGUUCUCUGCAACUCGAGAGCAUGAAGUCGGAAUCGCUAGUAAUCGCGGAUCAGCAUGUCGCGGUGAAUACGUUCCCGGGUCUUGUACACACCGCCCGUCACACCAUGGGAGUGGAAUCUGGCAGAAGUAGGUAGCCUAACCGCAAGGGGGGCGCUUACCACGCUGGGUUUCAUGACUGGGGUAAAGUCCGAAACAAAGGUUGCCCAAG